GCUAUCUAAAGGUUUGUUCUGGUAAAACAUUUACUUAAUUUCAAAAUUGCUAGUUUAUAUAUUGAAUUAUGCUAAGCCUAUAUUUGUGUGUGUGCCUUUAAGUAAGAUAGCUAGGGUUUGAAUUGGUGGAGAAGAUAGUCCUUUGUCAUUGCUAAAUCCACGUUACCUACCUGUUAAAACUUCAAUUUUUGGUGUGGAGAAAGUGGCGUGGUCAGAGUGCUGACUGUGGUGUAUGGCAGUGUUGGUUGGAAGGCAUUUUUGGGGCUCAUCAGUCCAGGCCCCUGAUCAGGAUUAUGAGUAACAGUACCUUGCUGUCUGUGGCUUAGCCUGCAGAGCAUUGGACACCCCUGAGAACAAAAAUCAUCACCAAACCGCCUUGCAGGUGUGUUUUUUAAUGUCCAGUCUGAAGCUCCUGAGCUGUGACUUAUGAUGCCAGAAGAGUUUGCUUCCAUGUUUGUAUGAUGUGCCUUCAGCUUUAGUUGGUAUGUGAUUACCCUAGGCAGCCUAAACAAACCCAGCUCCAUCACUUCUUCUCAGAUCUCUCAUUAUGAAGGCUCCAUGCCAUUUUACUGACUCCUGCCAGGUUCUCAAAUUCCUUUUUUGCCUGGGGGACUUUAAAUAGAACAUGGUAUUUGAGCUUCAGUCACACCAGCAUUGUGUUUCCUUUGAUUGCAUUCCUCUUGGUUUCCCUGUUUGCAGUGAGAGCUGACUCCUGGCUUGUAUUCAGCCUGGCAAACAAUUUGAUCUCCAUAUCUCUCUCAUUAAGGCUGUUGUUCAACUGGUCUGAUCCCAGGCUCCACUGAAGCACCCAGGAGCACAAUUUUUCACUUUGCAAGGUUCCUAAGGUUGGCUUAUUCCUCAAGUUUAUCAAGGUUGGUGAUGAAGAUACUGUGUGAUGUUUGCUCCAGCCUUUGUGGUGGUGCUUACCUGCUGCCAGCAAGAUGCUGAGCCAUCAAUUGCUGCUCUUCAAGUUCAGCAGUCUGGCCUGUGGCUGUUCAGUCUAACAGGCCAUUUCUCCAGCCUUUCUGUGGGAAAUAGGAUUAAUCCUAAUCACUAAAAACUGGACUGUGAUUUCAGAUGUUUCUGGCUCUUGAAUUUCUUGUGUGGAUUACUGGCAUUUGGUAAAAAGUUUUUUGAGAUGUAUUCCUGUGUGAACACAACAAAAAAAUCCACCUGCUGUGUUUAGAUCUUGAUGAGCAUCCCUAGUUGUUUUACUAGCUUUCUUGAUGUUACCUGAGAUUUCCAUGUUUCAAAAGCUGCAUUACAUAGGUAGUCGUCUAAAAUGUACUUAAAUGGAAAAAAUAUACAGAUGUAUUUGGCAUUAAUGCCAACAAGAAUUCCCAGAGGUAGGGUAAGUAUACUAAAUUGAUAAGGUGGAAAUUACCUUUUUUUUUUUUUUAAAUUCUUCAUGCCUCUGGGUAAGCAGUAAAAUGUGUGUCAUGAGAAUGUGCCUUGUUUGAAUGGAAAUGGUGAGCAAGUAUAAGUGCUUGCUCUACACCUGUUGUUAAACAAAGCCAAGUAGUUGAACUCAACCAAGUGUUUACUGUUUUAUAUUGUUGGUUUGGAUUUUUUUUUAAAAUGGCUCUAAAGCCAAGUAUUUUUUUUUGUGAGAUCAGAGUUUUGGAAAGUUAAAACUUGCAUGUUGAACUAGUGUCAUUUAACAGAGAAUGUAAUGAGCAAUGUUACACAUGGGUCUGUUUCAAACCGGAGUCUUGGGCAUCUUGUGCCUUGGACAUCUGGAUUGGCUUUGUCUGCUGCUUCCCUCCUGCUGCACUUCAUUACAGAUUUCUCUGCAGCUUUUCAUGUUGGAAUUCCUUUUUUCUUUGGGUUGUGUUUUUCUGGUGUGGAAACAGGAAAGGCUGGAGCUUCCUGCCCAUAUAAACAAAUCUCUGUGAAGUAACUAGGAUAGAUUCCUGCCUGCCUUCCCUGAAUACCAUGUUUAAAAGGAAGGAAACAGCGUAAGUGUUUUGGGUAUCGAAAUAGGAUUCACUUAAUAGUACAGCUAUUUUCUUGAAAAAAUAUGCAGAGGAGACAGGAUGCCUUUAUUGUUUUACUGUAUAAAGUCCUUGAAAUUCAGAUCUGAAUUGUAUUUUUUGUGACCAUGUUAACUGUUGUGUUACAUUAUCAAGUAUGUAGAAACUUCUUUAAUUAAUUAAUACAGCUGAUUACAGUAAGUUUUGGCAAAGUGCUC